AGUGAACGCUAGCGGCGUGCCUAAUACAUGCAAGUCGAACGGAGUGGCGCACGGGUGAGUAAUCUAUAGCUAAUCUGCCCCUUGCUGGAGGACAACAGUUAGAAAUGACUGCUAAUACUCCAUAGCAAGGGAUGAGACUAUAUCGUAUCAGCUAGUCGGUGGGGUAACGGCCUACCGAGGCUAUGACGGGUAACUGGUCUGAGAGGAUGAUCAGUCACAUUGGAACGGGGAAACGGGCCAAACUCCAACGGGAGGCAGCAGUAGGGGAUAUUGCGGAAUGGGGAAAACCCUGACGCAGCAACGCCGCGUGGAAGAUGACACUUUUCGGAGCGUAAACUCCUUUUGUUAGGGAAGCGGUACCUAACGAAUAAGCACCGGCUAACUCCGUACCAACAACCGCGGUAAUUC
rnacentral:rRNA from 1 species